rnacentral:rRNA from 1 species
UACGGAGGGUGCAAGCGUUGCUCGGAAUUAUUGGGCGUAAAGGGUAGGUAGGUGGUCUCAUUUGUCUGGGGUGAAAGCCUUGAGCUUAACUCAAGAAGUGCCCCAGAAACGGUGAGACUAGAGUUCUGGAGAGGGUCGUGGAAUUCCCGGUGUAGCGGUGAAAUGCGCAGAUAUCAGGAGGAACACCGAUGGCGAAGGCAGGUCUCUGGGCCACUACUGACGCUGAGAAGCGAAAGCAUGGGGAGCGAACAGG